rnacentral:rRNA from 1 species
UGGGGAAUCUUGCGCAAUGGGCGAAAGCCUGACGCAGCCAUACCGCGUGCAGGAUGAAGGCCUUCGGGUUGUAAACUGCUUUUGUACGGAACGAAAAGACUCCUUCUAAUAAAGGGGGUCCAUGUCGGUACCGUAAGAAUAAGCACCGGCUAACUACGUGCCAGCAGCCGCGGUAAUACGUAGGGUGCGAGCGUUAAUCGGAAUUACUGGGCGUAAAGCGUGCGCAGGCGGUUAUAUAAGACAGAUGUGAAAUCCCCGGGCUCAACCUGGGAACCGCAUUUGUGACUGUAUAGCUAGAGUACGGCAGAGGGGGAUGGAAUUCCGCGUGUAGCAGUGAAAUGCGUAGAUAUGCGGAGGAACACCGAUGGCGAAGGCAAUCCCCUGGACCUGUACUGACGCUCAUGCACGAAAGCGUGGGGAGCAAACA